UCCGCCCCGCCUCCCUCCUAGGUGAAGGAAGAUGAUUUCCCCCCCCCAUCUUGACCGCCCCCUGCCUUCGCUGCCAAGCACGGACUCCGCCGGCCCCAGCCGACCCGGUACCAGUGGUUGGAUCCAAGAGAAUUCCGGAACCCAAACGGCUCGCUCAAAGCACUUUAUUCAAUAUGAAACCGCAGUAUAACUCGGAGACCUUCGGCUGGUCCACUGUCAUUAUCAUACCCUAAGGAGUGUGAGCAGAGUCAGCCCCAUUUCUUUUUUCUGAACUAUUGCUCUUGAUUAAUGAUUGCUGCAGAAAAGGUUUGUCGCCACCACCUCUCGCUUCCUUAUUUUCUUCUCCUUCCCCUUAUUCUUACCACUACUACUAUUAUUAUUGUUCUUAUUAAAUGACCUGACAGAAUAAACAAAUUAACUUCUUGGUAA